rnacentral:lncRNA from 1 species
UUUUUUUUGCUAAAAACGGGUUUUCAUACAAUACGUGUACGAAUACACCCAAUAAAGUCAAAAAAUACUAACUCACGGAGAGCCAGUGGCAGCUCCCCCUCCCCCACCCAAAGGGUGUAUCCUGAAUGAUGAGCCGCGAAGGCAGCCACCCAAUCGGCUGCCCCAUUGGCUUCUCUAAAUACAUGCUUGGCCUGAAUGGCC